AGCGAACGCUGGCGGCAGGCCUAACACAUGCAAGUCGAACGAUCCUUCGGGAUAGUGGCGGACGGGUGAGUAACACGUGGGAACGUGCCCUUUGGUUCGGAACAACUCAGGGAAACUUGAGCUAAUACCAAAUGUGCCCUUCGGGGGAAAGAUUUAUCGCCAUUGGAGCGGCCCGCGUCUGAUUAGCUAGUUGGUGAGGUAAUGGCUCACCAAGGCGACGAUCAGUAGCUGGUCUGAGAGGAUGAUCAGCCACACUGGGACUGAGACACGGCCCAGACUCCUACGGGAGGCAGCAGUGGGGAAUCUUGCGCAAUGGGCGGAAGCCUGACGCAGCCAUGCCGCGUGAAUGAUGAAGGUCUUAGGAUUGUAAAAUUCUUUCACCGGGGACGAUAAUGACGGUACCCGGAGAAGAAGCUCCGGCUAACUUCGUGCCAGCAGCCGCCGCAGUAA
rnacentral:rRNA from 1 species